CGGUUUCUAUUUCCUUAUUCGGUUUCUAUUUCCUUAUUGGAUUUUCAUUUCCUUAUUCGAUUUCCAUUUCCUUAUUCAAUUUUCAUUUCCUUAUUCGGUUUCUUUUUCCUUUUCAAUAUUCAUUUCCUUUUUCCGUUUCUAUUUCCUUAUUCAGGUUCUAUUUCUUAUUGGAUUUUCAUUUCCUUAUUCGAUUUCCAUUUCCUUAUUGGAUUUUCAUUUUCCUUAUUCGGUUUCUUUUUCCUUUUUCAAUAUUCAUUUCCUUUUUCGUUUCUAUUUCCUAUUCGGUUUCUAUUUCCUAAUGGAUUUUCGUUUCCUUAUUCGAUUUCCAUUUCCUUAUUCGAUUUUCAUUUCCUAAUUCGGUUUUUUUUCCUUUUUCAAUAUUAUUUCCUUUUUCGGUUCUAGUUCCUUAUUCGGUUUCUAUUCCUUAUUGGAUUUUCAUUUCCUUAUUCAAUUUCCAUUUCCUUUAUUCGGUUUCUUUUUCCUUAUUCCGGUUUUCUUUUUCUUUUUUCAAUUUCAUUUUUUUCGGUUUCUAUUUCCUUAUUCGGUUUCUAUAACCUUUUUCGAUUUUCCAUUUCCUCAUUCGGUUUCCAUUUCCUUUUCGAUAUCAAAUUUUGAAAAAUAUUACAAGUCCAAACUGAAUUUUUUCCUUCAAAAAUUUUUUUUUCCUCAAAAUUCCUUUUUUUUUCCUCAAAAUUUUUUUUUCCUCAAAAUUUUUUUGUAUUUUCCUCAUUUUUUUUUCCUCAAAUUUUUUUUCCCAAUAUUUUUUUUCCUCAAAUAUUUUUCUCAAAAAAGUUUUUCUUCUAAUUUUUUUUUCAUUUCCUUAUUCGUUUUCUUUUUCUUUUUCGAUUAUCAUCCUUAUUCGAUUUCCAUUUCCUUAGUCGAUUUCACUUCCUUAUUCGGAUUUUCUUUCCUAUUCGGUUUCUUCUUCCUUUUCAAUAUUCAUUUCCUUUUUCGGUUUCUAUUUCCCUUAUCGUUCUCAUUUCCUUAUUGGGAUUUCAUUUCCUUAUUCGAUUUCCCAUUUCCUUAUUCAAUUUUCAUUUCCUUCUUUUUUCUUUUUUCAAUUUCAUUUCCUUUUUCGGUUUCUAUUUCCUUAUUCGGUUUUAUAACCUUUUUCGAUUUUCAUUUCCUUAUUCGGUUUCCAUUUCCUUUUUCGAUAUUCAAAUUUUGAAAAAUAUUACAAGUCCAAACUGAAUUUUUUUUUUCCUCCAUUUUUUUUUUCUUUUUUUUUUUUUCCUCAAAAUUUUUUUUUACAAAAUUUUUUUUUUCCUCAAAUUUUUUUUUUCCUCAAAAUUUUUUUUUCCUCAAAAUUUUUUUGCUCAAAAUUUUCCUUUUUUUUUCCUCAAAAUUUUUUUUCUCAAAAUAUUUUUUUCCUCAAAUUUAUUUCAUUUCCUUUUUUUCGGUUUCUUUUCCUUAUUCGGGUUCUAUUUCCAAUUGGAGUUUUUCGGUUCCUAUUUGAUUUCCAUUUCCUUAUUCGAUUUUCAUUUCUAAUUCGGUUUCUGUUUUCCUUUUUCAAUAUUUCAUUUCCCUUUUUUCGGUUAUCUAGUUCCUUAUUCAGUUUCUAUUUCCUUAUUGGAUUUUCAUUUCCUUAUUCAAUUUCAAUUUCCUUAUUCGGUUUCUUUUUCCUUAUUCGGUUUCUUUUUCCUUAUUCGGUUUCUUUUUCCUUUUUCAAUAUUCAUUUCCUUUUUCAGUUUCUGUUUCCUUAUUCGCUUUCUAUUUCCUUAUUUGGUUUCUAUUUCCUUAUUUGGUUUCUAUUUCAUUAUUGGAUUUUCGUUUCCUUAUUCGAUUUUCAUUUCCUUAUACGAUUUUCAUUUCCUUAUUCGGUUUCUUUUUCCUUUUCCAAUAUUCAUUUCCUUUUUCGGUUUCUAUUUCCUUUUUCGAUUUUCAUUUCCUUAUUCAGUUUCCAUUUCCUUUUUCGAUAUUCAAAUUUUGAAAAAUUUUACAAGUCCAAACUGAUUUUUUUUUCUCCUUCAAAAUUUUG
rnacentral:lncRNA from 1 species